GGCCAGUGAUUUGAGAUCAUUGUCCGUACCAUCUGAGAUCUGUCUCUCUGAUGCAAAUCUCUACCUCUAGAUUCUGAGGCCC